GACCGUUGCCUUCUUCCCCGGCGUUGUUCUUGUCGAUGUCCGAGCUGCCUUAGCCGGCCUGGCCGCCGGUUUAGUCUUAGGCUUAGUUUUAGCCUCGGGUUUAGGCUUAGCAGCUGCCUUCGGCUUUGGCUUAGCCACCGGCAGGGACACAGAUUUUGCCUUGGGUUUAGCAGCGGGCUUAGCCUUUGCAACUGGCUUAGCCUUAGGUUUAGCAGCCAGCUUGGCCUUCACAACCGGUUUUGCCUUAGCAGCAGGCUUUUCCUUGGUAGCUGGCUUUGCUUUCUUCACAGGGGCUGUUUUAGCCGGCUUGGAGGCAGCUACUGGCUUGGCCUUAGACGGAGCAGGCUUCUUCUUC
rnacentral:lncRNA from 1 species